GACGAACCGAGCGAACGUUGUUCGGAAUCACUGGGCUUAAAGGGCGCGUAGGCGGGUGCUCAAGUCCGUGGUGAAAUCCUCCGGCUCAACCGUGGAACUGCCUUAGAUACUGACGGCCUCGAGGGAGGUAGGGGCGUGCGGAACUGUAGGUGGAGCGGUGAAAUGCGUUGAUAUCUACAGGAACUCCGGUGGCGAAAGCGGCGCGCUGGACCUCUUCUGACGCUGAGGCGCGAAAGCGUGGGGAGCGAACAGG
rnacentral:rRNA from 1 species